UUCUGCCGUGCUUUCAAAGUGGGCAACCAUUGUCUUUUAAAAAGAGAACAAAAUCUUCUCUUAUGAAUAAAUAUAACAAUUUCGGAAAGUGCGGCGGAUUUAUUGGGCUUUUGAAGAUUGGAACAGUCUGUAAGGCAUUCCCCUAACUGUUCAACUAUAUUGUGGAAGUUUUUUAAAAUGGAUGGGUAGAUAAUUUGCAUGAUACAGUCAAAAAGUGACAUGUGAAGAAUACAUUUGAAACAAGUUUAUAAUAUCUAGAUUAUAUAAAUCGUAAGAACUUAGAUCCUCCAUAAUGUUUAAGGAUCCACGAAUAACAGAAAGCAUCUCUUACCUAAAGGGAUGGGGCAUCGUAGACAAUUUGCAGUCUUUUAAAUGGAAUAAGUAUUCUUGUUUCUAAAACACAUCUUAAAAUAGAUUAGCAAUAAAAAAUGGUUUUUCUAAUGUUUUCUAUUGUUAAUGGUGUGGAUAACUAUUUGGAAUAUAUGGCCGUUAAUAUUUACACGGAUUAGUAUCAGUUUCGUUUUAGUCUGUUAGGAAUUUGGAGAAGGGUUAAGAUUGAUAUUUGUCUUUUAAUUUUUAAGAAAUUCAUCUUGCAAGUAGUGCGGAGAAGGGAGUUCUCUUGAGUCCACUGAAAGAUGGUGUUCGACUUGAAGCAGCUGCUGACUUAUUCAUUCACCUGCUACAUCUCAUAUAUUAUAAUGGGGGGAUGCGCGUGGAGGAGUGGAGAACAAGAGAUGUUGUAGAUAUGUGAAUGAUGUGGGAGCUGAUUUCAGCCGGGGACUGCCAUUUCUUGGACUGAAGGGAUCUCCCUUCACAAUUCUUUUUCACUUUUCAUAUAUUCACUAUGAAAAGAAACAAAGAAAAAUGUUGGGAUAUGUAAUUUCUCUCAUUCUGAUGAUCAUCUCAGUAGAAUGUUCUAGAACUAGGUUAAAAGGGUAAGUUUUGUAAGAUUGGUCUACAGAUCUAAGAUGUUUCUAGAAUGUUUUUAGAAUUGUCUAAUGACCUUUAUAUAUAGAAGCAUCAUAUAAUGGUUUUGUAAAUCAUGUAAUCAAAUAUGAAAUGAUUCAUUCCAAAGUAAUUGUAUAUAUUUGCAAUUGAUGGAUAAAUGGAAUUAAUAUUAUUCAAUGAAUAUAUUUUCUGUUUGUGUUUCUAUAUAUGAUAUUGAUCCAAUCCAUCCAUCCAUCAGAGUUGAAAAGGAAAUUGCUUGUCACCGUUUGUGGAAGACAUUAAGAGAUCAUAGAGAAAACAAAGUAAUCGUUGAGAUUAUUGAAGGUCAGAAAUCGCAGAUAGUAAACAAAGAAAGAUUGCUGUUGGAGAAGUUCGCUAUUAUUGUCAUUGCCCGAGAAGGAGCAUAUUCAACUACUACGGUUUGAUGGUAUCGGUGGCUGGAAGAUAGAACCAAUGAAGACCCAGUCACUAGAACAAAUGGAGACCACUGAUCAAAGGAAUGAAGGAAAUCUUACGGUAGGGAAAACGCUGCUGUUGAAAUUGUGCCAGUCAAAGACAAUAGAGGGUUUGCAAAAAUUAUUGAAAUUAAUUGGUAUCAGAACUUCUAGAAAAUAUAGAUCAUGGGAGACGAAGGAGAGACUGUCGUUUAGGAGGAUUGUUUAAGGAAAGAAGAUAUUCAGAGUAGAUUAUUGAAGCUAUGGCAUCUGACAUGAUGAAAAUAAGCAAAAGAAUAAAAGGGCUUUGCAAAUAAUUGGACAAGCUUUGGAUGAUUCAGUUGGUGGAAGGAUUAAGCCAGCCACUACAGCCAAACAAGCAUGAGAACAGAUCUUGGCAUGAGACUGUUGGAUCUGGUCAAUGGUGUUUGCUAGAAGUUGGUGAGCACAAAGGAAUUUGAAUGUCCAGCAUUGGUGGUCGAAAUUAAGGGGGGUGUUGGGAAAUUAAGGGGGUGUUGGGAUAUGUAAUUUUUUGGAUUCUGAUGAUAAUUUCAGUAUAAUGUUCUAGAGUUAGGAUAAAAUGGUAAAAUAUUAAAUGUUUUGUAAGGUCGGUCUAAAGGGCUAAGAUGUUUUCAGAAUGUUUCUAGAAUGAUGGAAUGAAUGUCCUAGCAUUUGAAAGUAGUUGUAUGUAUUUGAAAUAGAUGGAUAAAUAGAAGUAACAUUAUUUGAUGAGUA